AUGCUUUGCGGCACCAAAUGUGGUGAAUCAAUUCCAUGCUUUCUUAAUCGAGAGAUUGUAUUCGUUCUGUCUAUGUUGGGGGUAAAAGAUGAGGCGUUGUUGGCAUUGAUAGAGGAUCGAUUGCGGUUGUUAAAGAUGGAUGUUGAUAUGAAAGUUGUUGUUGAAGCUGUCAAGGGUAAAGGACGGUUGGCCUGCAAAAUAAAAGGGGAAGAAGGAAUUAAAUCAGAAGGUUGA